UUCCUCGCUAUGUCACCAACACGACGAAUUCAAGGCGAGCAACGGGUGCGCUGAACGAAUCGGCGGAUAAGGAUCAUGAUUAAUCUAUCUUCACACUUCGGCUGUGUCAAAAUUUUUCAGACACCCUGUGUUUACACUUAGGCAGGUAUUCAUAGUCGGAUCUUAAGACGAUCCAUCCUAUAUUAAAAAAGGCAUGUGCCAUUGUUGCCUCUUUUCCGCGUUGCCCAUUGGUCGGUUGGUUGGUCGAUCGAGAUUAAUAUAGUAUAUGUAAUGAUGAUAUAUAAUAUAAUAACGCGAGAGAAGAGAUUUUGACAGUUCGUCGUAUACANAUGGAAAAAUUUAGCGGUUAGAGAACACGUAAUAGUAAAAAGAAAAAAAUAUAAGUAUUUGAAAAGUGAGAAAGUAAAUCGGAAAAAUCGCGAAAACGAAUAGUGACGGAGAAGCGAUUUUGACAGUUCGUCGUAUAAUUGUCAAAAGUGAGGUGACAUGCAGAAUCAAAAGCUAGAUUAUUCCUCGCAGAUGACACGCGUUAAGAUGAGGUUAUUUUUUAUUUCUGUUCUUAUAAAGAGACAGAAACCAUGAGAAGCGACAGAGAAGUGGAAUGACAAACGUUCGUUUUAUCAUUUAACAAAAAAUCAUAGUGACUGCGUUAAAAUGUGAAAUAAAGCACUGGUGAUUUGCUAACUGUCAAUAUAAUCAUGGGGGAUGAGAUUUUACGUGACCAGAUAAUUGACACCAACACAUCGUAUCUGGCGAGAAGUUUCACAGCUGCUGAAGUGAACUCGCAAAGAGUCGUUGUAGUUCCCGAUGUUGUUAAGAUGGUUGUUGUGAAGGGCAGACCAAGUUUAGAUGAGUAUUUUAAGUUGCAAAAAAAAGAAAGAAUAGAAUAGAUGAACACAUCGCGAAGGUAAGAUGAAAAAGUUAAAAGCAAAAAACAGAUAAAGGUAACUUGAGCAAUCUAUUAAAGAAAUUAAAGUAUAUAUUUGAAUUUGAUAAGAUUAGAUUAUAUGUAUAUCAUUAAGAUAUAGUAGAUUAUACAUACUAUUUUUUAUACAAAUAAUACAUAUAUUUUUUUCUGCGUACGUCAAUAAAAUAUUAUUAGGUUAGGUUAUACAUACAUACAUCCCUUAAUAUUGUCAGCAUUUCUUUCUAUUUUGUUCUUUCACAAUUUUUUAAGGAAUCUAUACCUACCG